rnacentral:rRNA from 1 species
AACGAACGCUGGCGGCAUGCCUAACACAUGCAAGUCGAACGAGACCUUCGGGUCUAGUGGCGCACGGGUGCGUAACGCGUGGGAACCUGCCCUUAGGUUCGGAAUAACUCCCCGAAUGGGGUGCUAAUACCGGAUAAUGUCUUCGGACCAAGGAUUAAUGCCUUUGGAUGGGCCCGCGUUGGAUUAGCUAAUUGGUAGGGUAAAAGCCUACCAAGGCGACGAUCCAUAGCUGGUCUGAGAGGAUGAUCAGCCACACUGGGACUGAGACACGGCCCAGACUCCUACGGGAGGCAGCAGUGGGGAAUAUUGGACAAUGGGCGAAAGCCUGAUCCAGCAAUGCCGCGUGAGUGAUGAAGGCCUUAGGGUUGUAAAGCUCUUUUACCCGGGAUGAUAAUGACAGUACCGGGAGAAUAAGCUCCGGCUAACUCCGUG